GAUGAACGCUGGCGGCGUGCCUAAUACAUGCAAGUCGAGCGAACAGACGAGGAGCUUGCUCCUCUGACGUUAGCGGCGGACGGGUGAGUAACACGUGGAUAACCUACCUAUAAGACUGGGAUAAAUUCGGGAAACCGGAGCUAAUACCGGAUAAUAUAUUGAACCGCAUGGUUCAAUAGUGAAAGACGGUUUUGCUGUCACUUAUAGAUGGAUCCGCGCCGCAUUAGCUAGUUGGUAAGGUAACGGCUUACCAAGGCAACGAUGCGUAGCCGACCUGAGAGGGUGAUCGGCCACACUGGAACUGAGACACGGUCCAGACCCCUACGGGAGGCAGCAGUAGGGAAUCUUCCGCAAUGGGCGAAAGCCUGACGGAGCAACGCCGCGUGAGUGAUGAAGGUCUUCGGAUCGUAAAACUCUGUUAUUAGGGAAGAACAAAUGUGUAAGUAACUAUGCACGUCUUGACGGUACCUAAUCAGAAAGCCACGGCUAACUACGUG
rnacentral:rRNA from 1 species